UACGGAGGGGGCUAGCGUUGCUCGGAAUUACUGGGCGUAAAGCGCACGUAGGCGGCUUUCUAAGUCGGGGGUGAAAUCCUGGAGCUCAACUCCAGAACUGCCUUCGAUACUGGAGAGCUUGAGUCCGGAAGAGGAGUGUGGAAUUCCCGGUGUAGCGGUGAAAUGCGCAGAUAUCGGGAAGAACACCCGUGGCGAAGGCGGCUCUCUGGAACGCAACUGACGCUGAGACGCGAAAGCGUGGGGAGCAAACAGG
rnacentral:rRNA from 1 species